ACCGGAUAUGCUGGAACUCCAGUACGAGCUGGAGUCCAAGGCAGCGAAGUGGUAUGCCACUAUUGAUAUUGCUAAUGCGUUUUUCUCCAUUCCUCUGGCAGCAGAAUGCAGGCCUCAGUUUGCUUUCACCUGGAGGGGCGUGCAGUACACCUGGAACCGACUGCCCCAGGGGUGGAAACACAGUCCCACUAUCUGCCAUGGACUGAUCCAGACUGCACUAGAAAAGGGUGAGGCUCCAGAACACCUGCAGUACAUCGAUGACAUCAUUGUGUGGGGGAACACAGCGGCAGAAGUGUUUGAGAAAGGAACAAUGACACUGCCCGGAAGACAAUGUCCUGCUAAUGGGCUAUAUAAUGUCCUGGCUUGUAAAAUAAGCAUGUAUUCUUUUUUGCCAUCUGUUGGGGGUUAGGCAGUUUUUCUUAUCUCUUUCAAGAACAAUGACACUGCCAGGAAGACAAUGUCCUGCUAAUGGGCUAUUGAAUCACUCACUGUGGCUGGUAAGAUUAGUUACAUCAUCCCAUUGGGAGAUGCUCCACCCAGAGGGAGGAGCCAAGCAUCCCUGCCACCAUAAAACAAGCACUUCUGAGACCACAGACAGCCUUCUUCGCUGGAUUUCCGAGAGGAAUCAGGAACCGAGGCCCAGCUGCUCCUUCGCCGCAUUUUCGGAAGGGAUCUACACCCUUCUGCAGAUCGCCGCUCCAGGAGGAGCAGCCACCUUUUGGCUGGACUGCUAUCAGCACCCUGACUUCUCAGGGUGUCAGGUUUUUUCUCACUUUGCCAGUGGUUGUUUUGCUUGUACUAAAUUACAUUGUUAUUUAGUUUUUUUCUUCCUAGUAAAGAACUGUUAUUCCCGUUCCCAUA